GGUUGUCCCUGUCGAUUUUUUCCUUGAUGGCGGCGAUGGAUAGCUCCGCCUGUUGCUGCCGCCGCCGGGCUCACACUGCUGCUGAAGGUACGCACAUACAUCCAGAAACAGUCUUUAGCCUGAACCUGCAACAAUUGAUGAUAAUUAAUGACACAAACACGUUAAUUACUUAUCUAAAACUACCACUAGUAUUACUGCUGCAAAUUGGUAAUACCAAACAUACAAAAACGAUUUCAAAACACAAAUAUUUGUAUUAUUUGAAUUCCAUUGAAUCUUGAUUAAAUCAUAAACAAACACACACACUUUUCGCAGUGGGUUGUGCUGGAUCUGUGUACUUGAAUCGGAAGCCUUAACUUGAUUAUUACUCAACUUAAUAAAAUUAAUAUUAAAUCUAA
rnacentral:sRNA from 1 species